rnacentral:rRNA from 1 species
GCAUAUCAAUAAGCGGAGGAAAAGAAACUAACAAGGAUUCCCCUAGUAACUGCGAGUGAAGCGGGAAAAGCUCAAAUUUAAAAUCUGAUGGUCUUUAUGGCCUUCCGAGUUGUAAUCUAGAGAAGUGCUAUCCGCGCUGGACCGUGUACAAGUCUCCUGGAACGGAGCGUCAUAGAGGGUGAGAAUCCCGUCUUUGCCACGGACUACCAGGGCUUAUGUGAUGCGCUCUCAAAGAGUCGAGUUGUUUGGGAAUGCAGCUCUAAAUGGGUGGUAAAUUCCAUCUAAAGCUAAAUAUUGGCGAGAGACCGAUAGCGAACAAGUACCGUGAGGGAAAGAUGAAAAGAACUUUGGAAAGAGAGUUAAACAGUACGUGAAAUUGUUGAAAGGGAAACGCUUGAAGUCAGUCGCGUUUACCAGGAAUCAGCCUUGCUUUUGCUUGGCGCACUUUCUGGUUAACGGGUCAGCAUCAAUUUUGAUCGGUGGAU